rnacentral:rRNA from 1 species
UACGUAGGGUGCGAGCGUUAAUCGGAAUUACUGGGCGUAAAGCGUGCGCAGGCGGUGAUGGAAGACAGAUGUGAAAUCCCCGGGCUCAACCUGGGAACUGCAUUUGUGACUGCAUCGCUGGAGUGCGGCAGAGGGGGAUGGAAUUCCGCGUGUAGCAGUGAAAUGCGUAGAUAUGCGGAGGAACACCGAUGGCGAAGGCAAUCCCCUGGGCCUGCACUGACGCUCAUGCACGAAAGCGUGGGGAGCAAACAGG